rnacentral:rRNA from 1 species
UGACAUAGACGCUGGUCUUGAGGAUUAAGCCAUGCACGUUGGGCACGCGGAAGCAAGCAGCGAACGGCUCAGUAACGCAGUCCGGACCGGCUUGGCAGAAUGCGGCGGACACCCGAGGAAACCUUCGGUCAAGACGACGAAAGGAAGGGGGCAUCCGAGAGGAGACAGGACGCCAGAGCGGCGCAGGGCGCAGCCAAACGGGAGACUGGCCCAUCAGCUAGAAGGCCGGGUACGGGCCGGCCUUGGCGACGACGGGAGACGGGGAAUAGGGGUUUGAUUCCGGAGAGGGUGUAUGAGACAUGGCACCUAGGUCCAAGGACCGCAGCAGGCGCGGAAAUUGCUCACUUCCCAGAGGGAGAAGCAGCGAGGAGACAUACGGCGGAUGGGCGCGGGGCAAUGCAGCGCGCGACGAGCGACUGGAGGGCAAGUCUGGUGCCAGCAGCCGCGGUAAUUCCAGCUCCAGAAGGGUCUGUGGUGGUUGCUGCAGUUAAAAGGUCCGCAGCCGGGCAGGGCGCCCGUGGGGAAAGCAGGCGGCUCAAAGGGAGCGUUGAGCACGGGACAAGGGCCGAGAGGGGCAGGCGGGGGCAGGAGGAUUUGGCAGCCAGAGGUGAAAUUYGGAGACUUGCCGAGGACGGACAGAGGCGAAGGCGCCUGCCAGGGAUGCUUUCAUUGGUCAGGGACGAAAGCCGGAGGAUCGAAGACGAU